rnacentral:rRNA from 1 species
UACAGAGGUCCCGAGCGUUGUUCGGAUUCACUGGGCGUAAAGGGUGCGUAGGUGGUGAGGCAAGUCGGAUGUGAAAGCUCGGAGCUCAACUCCGAAAUGGCAUUGGAAACUACCUUGCUAGAGGGUUGGAGGGGGGACUGGAAUGCUUGGUGUAGCAGUGAAAUGCGUAGAUAUCAAGCGGAACACCAGUGGCGAAGGCGAGUCCCUGGACAACUCCUGACACUGAGGCACGAAAGCUAGGGGAGCAAACAGG